rnacentral:lncRNA from 1 species
GAUGCUUGACACGUAAAAGCGAUGCUGAUUUUAUUAGGACAGUCAAUGAAACAUUAGCAACAUACAAACAGGAAAGAAGGUGCCAUGUCUGAAGAAGGUGCCUAUCAGAGAUUUAAAAGGAAGCCAAUUAGAGGCCAGCAUCAUACACUCACUCAACAUUACUCCCAAAUGACGUUACUAAUCCCAAGGCAUGAUUUGUUAAGGCAGCACUGCAGCCUUUACUUAACAACUAGAAUCCCACCACCUUAGGGAGACAGUUACUACUCCAGCAGCAGCCAGUCUUGCUGACCUUAGGAGCUUCAACUUUCUGUGGGGAGCUGAGGGGAAGAAAGGUGUUCUGAAACUCCUCUGUAAGGGGGAAAGUGGCUGUGAGCCAAGCCUCUCUGGCAGUCCAAAUGUUUUACUGUGUAACAGGGGCUGGCAUGCAGCUGAUUCCAGGGCAAACUGGCAAUGUGGCCUCUGUGGCACCUGCUGGCUUGCUUCUUCUGACAGCAGGGAUUCAGAUCAACCAGCAGAACCUGGACCAGAACAGCACUGCUGCUGGUCACGAGACACCACACCACUGCUGGGGCUCUGACAUUGAACUGUUGGAAAGAUGCAAGCAGCCUAAGAGCCACUGGGUGCACACAAGCUUGGCCACUCUUACCACCGCCAAAAGGAUCCACACUGAGAAAUACUCAUGGGAAAAAAUGCUGCUUCCAAAGAAACCCAGUCACUGAAUUUUGGUCUGCACUGACUCCAAAAAUUCCUUCCCAGCUCUCACAGUGUCCUUGAGAUUGGAGGUUCCUUAAGGCCUUGAAUGGUGAAGUGGGAUGAAAGGAGGUGUCCCUGACUUCACCCCAGUGCCUGAGAAGGGAUGGCACAGGUGACCGGUGCAGUGCUGACAGGAAAGCCAAAAUAAGCUGCUCACAGGCAUGAGGAUGCGUACCGAUCUGUAGUGGAAAUAAGAUUCUAUCCCUCCCUCUUCCUAGAGACUAAAUGCUAAUCUUUCAUUAGCCUAAAAAAAAAAAAAAAAAAAA